rnacentral:rRNA from 1 species
UGAGUACGAGCUGCUACGGCAGCGAAGUGGGUGAUGUCAAGCUUCCAAGAAAAGCCCUAUACCCGUUAAGGCAUGAUGGCCUGUACCCGAAACCGACACAGGUGGGGUGGUAGAGAAUACCGAGGGGCGCGAGAUAACUCUCUCUAAGGAACUCGGCAAAAUGGCCCCGUAACUUCGGGAGAAGGGGUGCCACCGCAAGGUGGUCGCAGUGAAGAGGCCCAGGCGACUGUUUACCAAAAACACAGGUCUCCGCUAAGUCGCAAGACGAUGUAUGGGGGCUGACGCCUGCCCAGUGCCGGAAGGUUAAGGAAGCUGGUCAGCGAAAGCGAAGCUAGCGACUGAAGCCCCGGUGAACGGCGGCCGUAACAAUAACGGUCCUAAGGUAGCGAAAUUCCUUGUCGGGUAAGUUCCGACCCGCACGAAAGGCGUAACGAUCUGGGCGCUGUCUCGGAGAGAGGCUCGGCGAAAUAGAAUUGUCUGUGAAGAUGCGGACUACGUGCACCCGGACAGAAAGACCCUAUGAAGCUUUACUGUAGCUUGGUAUUGUGCCCGGGCUCGGAAUGCGCAGGAUAGGUGGGAGGCUAUGAACCAUUGCUUGUGGGUGAUGGUGAGCCACUGGUGAGAUACCACUCUUUCCGAGCUAGAGUUCUAACAGCCACCCGUUAUCCGGGGGCUGGACAGUAUCAGGUGGGCAGUUUGACUGGGGCGGUCGCCUCCUAAAAGGUAACGGAGGCGCGCAAAGGUUUGCUCAGGCUGGUUGGAAAUCAGCCGACGAGUGUAAAAGCAGAAGCAAGCUUGACUGUGAGACCUACAAGUCGAACAGGGAGGAAACUCGGCUUUAGUGAUCCGACGGUUCUGCGUGGAAGGGCCGUCGCUCAACGGAUAAAAGUUACUCUAGGGAUAACAGGCUGAUCUCCCCCAAGAGUUCACAUCGACGGGGAGGUUUGGCACCUCGAUGUCGGCUCAUCGCAACCUGGGGCUGAAGUCGGUCCCAAGGGUUGGGCUGUUCGCCCAUUAAAGCGGUACGCGAGCUGGGUUCAGAACGUCGUGAGACAGUACGGUCCAUAUCCGGUGCAUGCGCAGGAAUAUUGAGAGGAUUUCUCCCUAGUACGAGAGGACCGGGAGGAACGCACCUCUGGUGUACCAGUUAUCGUGCCAACGGUAAACGCUGGGUAGCCAUGAGCGGAGAGGAUAACCGCUGAAAGCAUCUAAGUGGGAAGCCCACCUCAAGAUGAGUAUCCCCAUGGGGUAACCCAGUAAGGUCACGGGAAGAACACCCGUUGAUAGGCUCUACGUGGAAGCGCAGUAAUGUGUGAAGCGGAGGAGUACUAAUAGACCGAGGGCUUGA